rnacentral:rRNA from 1 species
GAUUUCUGGGCAUUCAGAAUGUGGCCGGCCACGGUUUCGUGUGUUAGUGCUAUUGUUCUGUGUCCAUCCUUCCAAUCGCUGCGAGUGCCGUUCUUCAUUGCGCGGUGCUCUGUCAGUAUUGGAUCUUUUACUUUGAAAAAAUUAGAGUGUUUCAAGCAGGCUUUAUUGCUAUGAAUACAUUAGCAUGGAAUAAUAAUUUAGGACUUCGGUUCUAUUUUGUUGGUUUCUAGGACUGAAGUAAUGAUUGAUAGGGAUAGUUGGGGGUGCUAGUAUUCAGCGGCCAGAGGUGAAAUUCUCGGAUUCGCUGAAGACUAACUUAUGCGAAAGCAUU